rnacentral:rRNA from 1 species
UACGAAGGGUGCAAGCGUUACUCGGAAUUACUGGGCGUAAAGCGUGCGUAGGUGGUUCGUUAAGUCUGAUGUGAAAGCCCUGGGCUCAACCUGGGAAUGGCAUUGGAAACUGGCGAUCUAGAGUGCGGUAGUGGGUAGUGGAAUUCCCGGUGUAGCAGUGAAAUGCGUAGAGAUCGGGAGGAACAUCUGUGGCGAAGGCGACUGCCUGGACCAGCACUGACACUGAGGCACGAAAGCGUGGGGAGCAAACAGG